AUUGAACGCUGGCGGCAUGCCUUACACAUGCAAGUCGAACGGCAGCGCGGGAGCAAUCCUGGCGGCGAGUGGCGAACGGGUGAGUAAUACAUCGGAACGUGCCCAAUCGUGGGGGAUAACGCAGCGAAAGCUGUGCUAAUACCGCGUACGAUCUACGGAUGAAAGCAGGGGAUCGCAAGACCUUGCGCGAAUGGAGCGGC
rnacentral:rRNA from 1 species